rnacentral:ncRNA from 1 species
ACAAAAUCUAUGAUUAAGACAGUAUUUUUAGUCGAUGUGCUAAGAGAAUCCUUGUUUGCUGAAAAAGGAAGACUAGAUUAAAAAGAAAAUCACUUAGGAGAUGGCUUUUUGAAAUAAGUAGAAAAGCUCGCGGAUGCGGCGUUAAUGCUAUAAUGAGGCCUUGAUAAGAUACAUCAAGGUGAAUUUGGGUGGUACCACGUUUAAAUGAAAUCACGUCCCUGCA